rnacentral:rRNA from 1 species
CCUUGCACACACCGCCCGUCAAACCACCCGAGUGAGGUAUGGGUGAGGGCACGGACUUUGUGCCGUGUUCGAACCUGAAUUUCGCAAGGGGGGUUAAGUCGUAACAAGGUAGCCGUAGGGGAAUCUGCGGCUGGAUCACCUCCUAA